GUGCCGUAUACGUCUCCCUUCUUUAACUUCUUCUCGUCACAAACCCCACUGAAAUUCAGUCGACGAUGUUUCUUAAAACUUCACCUGGUUCUUCGAAAACAGCUUUAAAACUUGGAUUCUCAUGUUCAUUCCCCCGUUUACAAGACCCAAGUAUUUCAGUUUCAAAAAAUGAACUCACAAAACCAACCAAACACCUUCCCACUGUUAAACGCAAAGCUCAACUUGAUAUAUUCCUCCACGUAAACUGCAGAUCAGGUAACUUCUCUCUCAAUGAAACUCUCGACUUCAUCGAUUACAAGAUUCAUAUGCAACCCAACCACAUAUGAAUCGUUCAGUAGUUUGUUCUCCGCAUUUGCUCAGAAGAAAUAUGUUUGUCAACUUCAUGUAGUUUUCGGGAGGAUUUUGAGGAGGGGUUUUUGCCCACAUGCGAUUACUUUUAAUGGUCUGAUUCAGGUGUUUGUAUGGGUGUUUGUAUGGAGGGUAAGAUUAAGGAGGCGGCUGAAUUGUUUAGCAAAAUGGUUGUUUUUGGUUUUCGGCUUAAUGUGAUUACAUUUGGGAUAUUUGAUUACUAGAUUGUAUUGAAUAGGCAAUAUAGGUACUGCCUUUCAGUUAUUUGAAGAAAUGGUUGAUGGGAAUGCUGAAUUUGGUGUCAUUUAUAAGCUUAAUAUUGUUGUUUACGGUAAUAGUAUUGCAGGUCACACCAAAUUCACUAUUCUCAUUUGCAAAUGAUUCAUAGAGGUGUUGAUCCGGACACAAUUACUUAUAAUACAAUUUUGAAUGGUUAUCUCUUGGAAGGUGGAACUGAAGUUGUGAGAAAGCUAUUAUUUUCCAUGGCAUGUAACGGAUAUUUGGAUAGAUGGUUUUUGCUUGGCAAAUAAAUUUAGUGAUCCUAAGGAGUUGUUUGUUUUGAUGAUGAGUAAGGGAGAUAUGCCUAUCUUUGAUCAGUUGGUAUUACAAGAAUCGAAAAAGUUGAAAUAGCUACGAGCCUUUAUAAGGAAAUGACUUAAAAUGGAGUUAGGCACUUAGGCCCGAAGUUGUUCCACCGGGUUUAGUUACAUAUAAUAUUAUGGACUCUGCAAAAAUGGUUGUCUUUUGGAGGCUCUUGAACUGAUUCAUUGAAAAAUGAAAACUUUCAACCUGAAAUCAAAAUCUUUAGUUGUCUCAUUGAUGGACUCUACAAAACGUGGAGACUUGAAAUUGUCUAGGAAUUAUUUCACUAACUGCAAAAUAAGGUUUUGUUCCGGAUGUUGUGACAUAUAGCAUUAUGAUGGAUGGGCUUUGUAAAGGAGGGCACUUAGAAAAGGCAAGUAAUCUGUAAUCAUAUAUGGAACAAAAGGGUUCUGUUCCAGAGGUUAUAUUUAAUACGCCUGUGCAUGCUUUCCUACAGCAUGAUGGGACUUCAAAAGUGGUUGAACUUCUUCGCAAAGUGGCAUAAAGAAAUAUGAAUAUGUAUUCCGAAGUUUUGGAAGCCAAGAGUGGGAUAUUGGUUUUGAUAUUCAAGCUUUGCUUGCUAGUGCUCUCGCUGAUGAAAUAGGAACUGUAAUUAAAAGAGAACAUGAAUUUAUGAGGCAUCUCAGGUGAAGGACAUUCGUUCUGGGGACUUCAAGGGAAUGCAUCGACAUAUCACUAAGGGAGCCUGGAUUUUCUGUGAUCAAGAUCAUGGAUGACAAGUUUCUGCUUGUACUGCUGAAGGUUUAAGUUUAACGGUGUUCCCUGCUUUUCUCAAUGAUGCCACAAGAAAUUGUUCUCGAAAAAAUGGAACCUGAGAGGUUAUCUGAUUCUGUCAAUCUCUUGCUAUCAUUACAGAGCAAAAAUGGAGGAGUAUCAGCCUGGGAGCCAGCCAGAGCCCAACAAUGGUUUAACUGCUGAAUCCCUGAGAGUUUUUCAAGGACAUAGUGAUUGAGCAUGAAUAUGUAGUGUGCACGUCAUCCGCUAUCAAGUGUAGUUCCAAUGCAGUAAGGCUUAUGAUCAGGAGAAACUUCCUAAUGGCUAUGGGCAGAAAAUGAUGGAAGGAAGUUUAGGCAUUUGUUAUAUUUUUCAUUCUUCACUAUUGAAGUUGUGCUUGCACCUGCCACAAUAUUUCUUAUGCUGUAGCAAACCAUGCAUAAGUGUAUUAAAUAUGAUUGCAUCUGGAGCACCCUUUUGCUUUAUAAAUUGAUUUUGAAGUGAUAUUCAGUAACUGCAGUCGAAAACAGAAAUGAUAUUAUAACUAUGAAAUGAUAUAAUGCUUUGACAAACAAGGUAUUACGGAUGCAACUUCAAGUGUUACUAUGAUUAAGUUAACUGUGAGGGAUAGAGCUAUAGAUCUUAGGAAGAUGCAGAGAACUAUUAGUAAGAGGAGUCUUGCUCAGGAUUGGGGGUUACCGAUGUGUAUUUUUAAAGGGUGAAUUUUUGUUGGUUGGCUUUGUUUUGGUGAUGGUUGUCUUGUGUAUGUUUUGGAGAUGGUCUUGUAUAGGCUUUUGUUUUCAUCUUAACCCAGGGUUUCUCUUGUGGUAGGAUAUGCAUUGGAAGAUAGUGUUUGGAAUAGUUCUUUUACCUUGGUUAAACUUUCGUUUUGGUUUUGUCUAUUAGUAGGCUGGUGGCCUUUAUAGGCCUCUUUGUACAUUCUUUUUCUUUUUCUAUUUAAAGCUUAGUUACUAAAAAAACAA